UUGAAGCUUUGUGAGUGGAGCAUAUAGGUUGAGGUAGUGUUCCCUUAAUUUCCCGAGUGAGGAAAACUUCUCGGUUGGAGACUUGGAAAAUCCAAGUCACUGAGUAGGAUCGGCUAUAUGAAUCUUAGAACGCCAUUGUGUUCUGUCCUGUGUCAUGUCCUCUGUUAGAUCCAAGUACUCUAAGUCUUUUCUUAGGGUCUCUUCCAAAGUUUUCCUAGGUUUUCCUCUACCCCUUCGGCCCUGAACCUCUGUCCCAUAGUCGCAUCUUCUAAUCGGAGCGUCAGUAGGCCUUCUUUGCACAUGUCCAAACCACCGUAACCGAUUUUCUCUCAUCUUUCCUUCAAUUUCGGCUACUCCCACUUUACCCCGGAUAUCCUCAUUCCUAAUCUUAUCCUUUCUCGUGUGCCCACACAUCCAACGAAGCAUCCUCAUCUCCGCUACACCC
rnacentral:lncRNA from 1 species